UCCGGGACACAGCCUAGGUGCAUCCUGCGCAUCAAUCAGAGACGAAGCUGGCCAGGCAUGUAUGUGCUACUUUUGUUGCUGGUUGUGCUGGGGCAAGUAGUGGCUGUGGCUGCUGCAUGGCAUUGGGCAAUAUAGUGGAAUUGUUGUGGGAUUUUGGAUGUCUUUGCUGUUUCAGAGAAAUAGAUGUAGGUGAGUUUGUUAUGUGCCUGCUUAUGAUUGUGUCUGACAAUGUCUCGUUCAAUGAGAUUGCCAUUCGACCAAUUGUUUGUAUGAAUUCUGUAAAACUUGUGUGACUAUGAGUGCAGUAAAUCUUCUGUGCCACACCUUUGAGCUUGAGAUGCAGAUUUGUAUUCCCUGUGAGUAACUUAACAUCUGACAUCUUUACUUCUUUUUUUUUAUGCAACUGGGGAACUUGAAUAAAUUGUUAGGUAAAUGGCAGGAGCAGAACCUAUUCAGUAAAUACAAACGAUCCACAUCUCAUGUUCAAAGGGACAUCUUAAAGGCUUUGUCUUUCUAGCGUGUUCUGCUCACAAUUCACCACCCUUCUUGAUAAAUUGGUAUGCUCUUGGUAUUGGCAUUUAACAUAUUCAAUACAAACAUGUCUUGAAUUGUUUUUGUAGGAUUAGAUGUAGCAGCACUUGUGAUUUUAUCAUUCCGUCUUAAAGUAUUCACACUGCUGGCAUCAUAUGUGUACAACUGGAAACAUAUUUUACCGAGUUAAGAGAAAAUGAUGCCAGGAGGAAAACUUUGAACAAGUUUUAUAAGAUCAUCUUUAUACGUGUCUUUCAAUCUUCCAAUUUUUUUAUGACUGCUGGGUUUAUUAGUACAAAUGAAAUUUACUAAAAAACUUGAGGAUAGGAGCAACAUCAGAAUAGUGAAAGCAUGUCACAUGCUACAGAUGUAAUAACAGUACUGAUACAGAAACAAAGCAUGUACAGUUAGCAUAACAGAAGCACCAGAAUGUUUAAGGGGACCCUGGUACUCUAAUGGUUUUCAGGCUCAUAUUUUAUAGUGAACAAGAAACCAUUUUUCUCACUCUUUUAUGCAAAAUUAUGCCUAACAUAUAUUAAUGUUUUGGUGGAAACAAUGGUACUUCCUGUCCUCUUUCAGAGUUUAAACUACUUUCCUUUAAUAAAGUUGAAACUUUGACAAGGGAUGUAGCAGGGUUAGCAGAAAACAUGAUGCACGAUUGAAUUAAACAUGGAGGGUUCAUCUAGGCAUGCAAAUGCAUCUUAUUUCACCAGAAAAAAUCUGCUUGAUUCUUUUACUAAUUAUCUUGUCAAAUGCAGUUCGUGGGAUAAGGGAGGCACAUCAGUUCUGAAGAUUACUUUAUUUUCUAUACUAGAACAUGAGACCAAUUACUUUAUCUGUAUACUACAAUUUGGGCUGACACCAAUGUUGACUCUGAAUUUCAUUGCUUAUUUUGCUAAGUGAGAACAUAUGUCUGCAAUUCUGCAUACAUCUUCAUGAUAUUUCCUUCUAUCUAAUUUAUAUGAAGAUUAAGAGUUAUUUUUUACCCGAAAUUUACCUGAGAAUUACUUCAGUGUGUGUCAU
rnacentral:lncRNA from 1 species